rnacentral:rRNA from 1 species
CCUACGGGUGGCAGCAGUGAGGAAUAUUGGUCAAUGGACGAGAGUCUGAACCAGCCAAGUAGCGUGAAGGAUGACUGCCCUAUGGGUUGUAAACUUCUUUUAUAUGGGAAUAAAAUGUUCCACGUGUGGGAUUUUGUAUGUACCAUAUGAAUAAGGAUCGGCUAACUCCGUGCCAGCAGCCGCGGUAAUACGGAGGAGCCGAGCGUUAUCCGGAUUUAUUGGGUUUAAAGGGAGCGUAGGUGGACUGUUAAGUCAGUUGUGAAAGUUUGCGGCUCAACCGUAAAAUUGCAGUUGAAACUGGCAGUCUUGAGUACAGUAGAGGUGGGCGGAAUUCGUGGUGUAGCGGUGAAAUGCUUAGAUAGCACGAAGAACUCCGAUUGCGAAGGCAGUUCACUGGACUGCAACUGACACUGAGGCUCGAAAGUGUGGGUAUCAAACAGGAGUAGAUACCCGAGUAGUC